GCCAUGGUAGCUCAGUUGGCAAGGCAUUGGACUUAUAAUUCAAGGGUCUCAGGUCUGAUACUUGACAGGCA